AGCAGCACCACCGCCUUGCUGACAGUGACUGUGUGUCCCCCUAGCAACCCUCGAUGAUGUUGUGGAGGCCGGCGGGAGUGAGAAGACGGAGGAAGAGGCCCUGGCUGGGGCAAAUGAGGAGGAGGUGGGGCCGGGAACUGAGAAGGUGCAGGAGGAGGCUGCCUGCAUUGACGAGGCAGAGGAGGAGGCAGGCCCAUCCCUUGAAAAUGACGAGGAGUCCCCAGCCAGCGACCUGGUUGAGCAGGAAGACCAGCUUGCCCCCAAGGUGGACGGGAUGGACGAUGAAAGCCUAUGUUUCAUGGAGAGUCUGAGUGACAGCAACCAUGAUGAAAGUGAUACAGGUAAGAACAGCUCUCAGGUAGGAGCCAAUGGGAGAGGGAUCCCGGGACACUUGGGUGACGCCUGCUGCUUGGAGUGUGGGGCAGGUGAGUCUGAAACUUAAAAACAGAAAGAAAUUGAUGUAAAGAUGUUCACCGCCUACUUUAAUAAGGAGAGGGAGCAGAUAUGAGAUGCCUGAAUGUUGGCAUCUGUGCUCACCUUGUGUGGAAGGGUCUCAGUCCAUGGAGCAGAGGGAAGGUCUGGGCACCUGGAGGAAAAACCAGGGUGAUGCUCUGUACCCGUAGUCACCUCAGGGAAGCCGGAGAAACGGGAGGGCCACUCUUUCUAACUCCUUGAUUCCCCUGAUGGUGUGUUUCUACAGACUCAGUGGUGGAGAGCCUGAGCAGCCGCCAGGAUGAGGAGGCUGCAGGUAGGGAAGAGCACGCAGCUGGGAUCCAGUGGGAGAGGGUUCCUGGGAGCACCUGGGUUCCGCCUGCUGCCGGGAGAGGGAGGAAGUGGGGAUAGGACUUGGCGGGUGGGUGGGUGGGUGGCCUAAUGAGUGGCACUCUGCUGUGGUGUUUUCCCCUGUGAAAUGGAUACCACGAAGAAGACUUGGGUCCCUGGUCUUUGUUGUGCUGUGUUUGUAUUCCUCUCUCCUUUUCUUUGAGAGGGAGAAUCGAUUUUCCCUCCCAAAGCUGCUCCUUCCUGCUUUGGUCUCUGCCCGUUGUGCAAGUUUGCUUUGUGAUUGGCACCGUGAGGGCCCAGUGCACAAGAGCUGUUGACUUGGUUUCCUUUAUUGGCCUUGAGGGACCUGAAGUGGUGGCACCUGAAGUGGUGGCACCUUGACCCUGGAGACCAAGUUGGUCGAGUGAGUGUCAGGUGGUGGGUGAGAAGGCAGCUCUCUGGCUCUGCAUGUUUGGGAUUUCUGGCCUCCCUGUCCUAUUGUGUCCUCACGGUGUGUCCUGAGGGAAGGGAUGUUCGCAGAGUUGGAUG
rnacentral:lncRNA from 1 species